rnacentral:rRNA from 1 species
GACGAACGCUGGCGGCGUGCUUAACACAUGCAAGUCGAACGGUGAUGCUCCAGCUUGCUGGCGUGGAUCAGUGGCGAACGGGUGAGUAACACGUGAGCAACCUGCCCCAGACUCUGGAAUAAGCGCUGGAAACGGCGUCUAAUACUGGAUACGAAACUGGCCCGCAUGGGCAUGGUUUGGAAAGUUUUUCGGUUUGGGAUGGGCUCGCGGCCUAUCAGCUUGUUGGUGAGGUAAUGGCUCACCAAGGCGACGACGGGUAGCCGGCCUGAGAGGGCGACCGGCCACACUGGGACUGAGACACGGCCCAGACUCCUACGGGAGGCAGCAGUGGGGAAUAUUGCACAAUGGGCGAAAGCCUGAUGCAGCGACGCCGCGUGAGGGAUGACGGCCUUUGGGUUGUAAACCUCUUUCAGCAGGGAAGAAGCGAAAGUGACGGUACCUGCAGAAGAAGCACCGGCUAACUACGUG